rnacentral:rRNA from 1 species
UACGGAGGGGGCUAGCGUUGUUCGGAAUUACUGGGCGUAAAGGGCUCGUAGGCGGCCAACUAAGUCCGACGUGAAAUCCCAAAGCUUAACUUUGGAACUGCGUCGGAUACUGGAUGGCUUGAAUUCGGGAGAGGGAUGCAGAAUUCCACGUGUAGCGGUGGAAUGCGUAGAGAUGUGGAGGAACACCGAUGGCGAAGGCAGCCUUCUGGGCCAACACUGACGCUCAUGCACGAAAGCGUGGGGAGCAAACAGG